UAGUGAACACUUAAUUUAUUAAAUAUUUUUUUAAGAUAGAUGAGGCGAAAUCGCUCUUACAAAAGAGAAAAUAUAUAAAUAUAACAUAAGAGUUUAUAUAUGAGGUGUCACUAGAUUCGAACUUUAUAAUGUAAAUUUUCAAUCACAUAAUACAACUAAGUGCACGCAAGGAUUUCAAAUUUAUUAAACACACACAAAUUAUUUAUUGACCAAGACUGUCACGUGGCAGCUGAUGACAGAAGAUCAAGACUCGCAAUACCUUAUCAUUAUCAUUAUUCAUUACCAUGCAAGCAGCUGGGACUUUUGCGUCAUUCCAUGUCUCUAACUCCAAGGGUUCCACCAGUCAUGCUCGGGCUCAUCUCCACCGUCGACUUCCUUCCCGGUAUGCAUAUCCAGCCUCUUCCACGCUUCCUUAUCAUGAGGUACCAGUGUGACCCCAUACUUUGACCACCCGAAGCAGUCGUUGACCCUCAGCUUCCUGAUGUGGGCCCCACCCACGUCAACGAAGCAUAGACCCUGACGGUUGACCAGCAGAUGAGUCUUGUUCCUCUUCUCCCUGUCGUUUUCUCUCACGAUGGUGAGGUCGUUGAACAGCUCCGUCAGCUUGUCCCCCUGAAUGGUUACGCCAUUAACCACCAGGGCCUGGUGAGACCAGGGUUCUGCAUGAUGCUGGCCAGGAUCGUUGCUGAUCCUGGCCAAUCAACGAAGCACAGACCCUGACGGUUGACCAGCAGAUGAGUCUUGUUCCUCUUCUCCCUGUCGUUCUCUCUCACGAUGGUGAGGUCGUUGAACAGCUCCGUCAGCUUGUCCCCCUGGAUGGUUACGCCGUUAACCUCCAGGGCUUGGUGAGACCAGGGUUCUGCCUGAUGCUGGCCAGGAUCGUUGCUGAUCCUGGCCAGAGGCAUAGCGCUCCAGCGACUGGCUUUACUGCGGCCCUGGUCUUCUGCUAUGGCGAAGCUGUCAAGGUUGCCGUUGUACUCGGACACGUAGAUGACCUCGAUGAUGUUGUCGUAGCGGUCCCUUUCAUCGGUGAUGUUUGUGUGGAUGAAUUGGUCGUCUUUGGCUAAGGUGAAUGUUUUUGGUGUUGCCAUUUUUGGGGGUGUUUUGCUUUGUUUUGGUAGUAGGGUUUGAAGGAAGGAUGUGAUAUGAUGAAUGGUUCAUUUACUGUAUUUAUAGGCCCUCAGCCUCCAUGCGAAUCACGAGAAGUGUGGAUCACGAGAUGUAAUAAUGGUGAUGGUAGGG
rnacentral:lncRNA from 1 species